rnacentral:rRNA from 1 species
CGUGUAGGCGGGUGUUUAAGUCAGGGGUGAAAUGCCAAGGCUCAACCUUGGAACUGCCUUUGAUACUGGAGAUCUUGAGUCCGGGAGAGGUGAGUGGAACUGCGAGUGUAGAGGUGAAAUUCGUAGAUAUUCGCAAGAACACCAGUGGCGAAGGCGGCUCACUGGCCCGGAACUGACGCUGAGACGCGAAAGCGUGGGGAGCAAACAGGAUUAGAUACCCUGGUAGUCCACGCUGUAAACGAUGGAUGCUAGCCGUUGGGGAGCUUGCUCUUCAGUGGCGCCGCUAACGCUUUAAGCAUCCCGCCUGGGGAGUACGGUCGCAAGAUUAAA